GAGGCGUGAUGACGAGGCACUACGGUGCUGAAGCAACAAAUGCCCUGCUUCCAGGAAAAGCCUCUAAGCAUCAGGUAACAUCAAAUCGUACCCCAAACCGACACAGGUGGUCAGGUAGAGAAUACCAAGGCGCUUGAGAGAACUCGGGUGAAGGAACUAGGCAAAAUGGUGCCGUAACUUCGGGAGAAGGCACGCUGACACGUAGGUGAAGUGAUUUACUCAC
rnacentral:rRNA from 1 species